rnacentral:rRNA from 1 species
CACCGCGGUCAGACAAGAAACCCAAAUUAACCUUAACACAAAACGGCGUAAAGAGUGGUAACAUGCUAUCAAAGUAACUAAGAUUAAAAUGCAACUGAGCCGUCACAAGCCCAAGAUGCCCAUAAGACCGCUGCUUCCAAAGAAAAUCUUAGGCCAACGAUGAAUUGAAACCCACGAAAGCCAGGGCC